rnacentral:lncRNA from 1 species
GGUCUGGCUCUGGAACUAAGCUCUUCCAUUCCUCGGGGAGCUGCAGGCCGGUUUUCUGCUGAUUUGUGUAGCUGAACACACAAGGGAGGAGGAUUCACAGGGAGCAUAGAAGAGCUGAGGAAGACCGGGCACGCUGAACCCAAGACUACCAGCCCAGGGAUGCCACCACCGACAAGAGGCCCUCCCCCUCUUGACCGCCAACAAAGAAGAUGCCCCACAGCUGGAUCUCAUGGAGACAUUUCCCCAACUGAAGCUCCUUUCUCUGUGAUAACUCUAGCCUGUGUCAAGUUGACGCACAAAACUAGCCAGUACAGUGGAGAAGAGGGAUUUUCGUUAUCUGACGUUGCCUGCUGCUCCUAUAAAGGAAAUCAACAUGUUGAGCAGCUGAGGAAACAAGAGAGAGACCCCCCUAACUGAGAGACCCUCCUGACUGAGAGACCCCCCGACUGAGAGACCCUCUGACUGAAGAUUUGUGCUAAGUCUGUGGAUCUACGGGUCUCCCGCUUACCUUCUCCAAGUGCAUGGCUGCAAAAGUGACUUACAUAUCGCUGCAUGUACUUCAGUGCUGGAGGGCACGGUCCACAGAAGUAAGAACAGGCACCAUCAGGAACAGUAUGCAAAUUGGGAUGUGAGGAAAACUCAUUUGGUUCUCCAUCUGUCUCCCUGUUUAAUUACUUAGCCAUAAAUUAGCACUUUUUACUAGCUAUGUUCCGAAAAUGUGAUCAAUUCCCUGACUUUAAUGUCAAACCAGGAAUAUUUUUGGGCUUUCAAGUGUUUAGCCUUUUAAUUUACAUUCCCAUUCUAAAAUAUAAAUGAGCUGUUGAAAU